AUCGAACGCUGGCGGCAGGCUUAACACAUGCAAGUCGAACGAGUGGCGGACGGGUGAGUAAUGUCUGGGAAACUGCCUGAUGGAGGGGGAUAACUACUGGAAACGGUAGCUAAUACCGCAUACCAUCGGAUGUGCCCAGAUGGGAUUAGCUAGUAGGUGGGGUAAAGGCUCACCUAGGCGACGAUCCCUAGCUGGUCUGAGAGGAUGACAAGAGACACUGGAACUUGGGCACGUUCCAGACUACUAGGGUAGGCAGGAGUGGGGAAUAGUGGACAAUGGGCGCAAGCCUUAUGCAACGAUGCCGCGUGUAUGAAUAGAGCAUUCGGGUUGUAAAGUACUUUCAGCGGGGGGGCGUUACCCGCAGAAGAAGCACCGGCUAACUACGUGCCAGCAGCCGCGGUAAUAC
rnacentral:rRNA from 1 species